CCACGAGGGCUCCCGUAGAAGACGGGGUUGAUGGGGCGGGGGUGUAAGCCCCGAGGGGGCUUCCGCCCUCGAGGGGUGAAGCCCGCCGCUCCCAAUCGCCCGAGGCCGUAGGCUG
rnacentral:rRNA from 1 species